rnacentral:rRNA from 1 species
CAGCAGCCGCGGGAAUACGGAGGGGGCUAGCGUUGUUCGGAAUUACUGGGCGUAAAGCGCGCGUAGGCGGUUACUCAAGUCAGAGGUGAAAGCCCGGGGCUCAACCCCGGAACUGCCUUUGAAACUAGGUGACUAGAAUCUUGGAGAGGUCAGUGGAAUUCCGAGUGUAGAGGUGAAAUUCGUAGAUAUUCGGAAGAACACCAGUGGCGAAGGCGACUGACUGGACAAGUAUUGACGCUGAGGUGCGAAAGCGUGGGGAGCAAACAGGAUUAGAUACCCGCGUAGUCCCUGUCUCUUAUAC